rnacentral:rRNA from 1 species
UGGGGAAUUUUCCGCAAUGGGCGCAAGCCUGACGGAGCAACGCCGCGUGAAUGAAGAAGGCCUUCGGGUCGUAAAAUUUUGUCAUCAGGGACGAAUAAGCAAUGCGAAUAGUGUUGUGUAUGACGGUACCUGAGAAGGAAGCUCCGGCUAACUACGUGCCAGCAGCCGCGGUAAUACGUAGGGAGCGAGCGUUGUCCGGAAUUACUGGGCGUAAAGGGCGCGUAGGCGGAUACUUAAGUCAGAUGUGAAAUCUCCGAGCUUAACUUGGAGCGUGCAUUUGAAACUGGGUAUCUUGAGGGCAGGAGAGGAAAGUGGAAUUCCUAGUGUAGCGGUGAAAUGCGUAGAUAUUAGGAGGAACACCAGUGGCGAAGGCGACUUUCUGGACUGUACCUGACGCUGAGGCGCGAAAGCGUGGGGAGCGAACG